ACUACGGGAGGCAGCAGUGGGGAAUAUUGGGCAAUGGGCGCAAGCCUGACCCAGCAACGCCGCGUGAAGGAAGAAGGCUUUCGGGUUGUAAACUUCUUUUGUCAGGGACGAAGCAAGUGACGGUACCUGACGAAUAAGCCACGGCUAACUACGUGCCAGCAGCCGCGGUAAUACGUAGGUGGCAAGCGUUAUCCGGAUUUACUGGGUGUAAAGGGCGUGUAGGCGGGGAGGCAAGUCAGAUGUGAAAACCACGGGCUCAACCUGUGGCCUGCAUUUGAAACUGUUUUUCUUGAGUGCUGGAGAGGCAAUCGGAAUUCCGUGUGUAGCGGUGAAAGGCGUAGAUAUACGGAGGAACACCAGUGGCGAAGGCGGAUUGCUGGACAGUAACUGACGCUGAGGCGCGAAAGCGUGGGGAGCAAACAGGAUUAGAUACCCCUGUAGUC
rnacentral:rRNA from 1 species